AAAAAAAGUUUUUGAAUACCUCUUUAAACAGAUUUGGUGCUAUAUCAAUACCUGCCUCAUAUAAGUCGGUAUAACAACAGGAUAUGGAUGUAAUCAUACAAAAACUAGAGGUUUGGCCAUGUGUGCCAAACCGAAACCGCAUAGUGAAAGUACAGAAAGCGCAUGGCAAACCGGAAAUUGGAAAGACAAUUGCAAAUGGCGGAGAAAAUUUAGACUUGAAGUUGAAUGACUCGGUUUACCAUAAAGUACACAAUGUUUCCAGGAUAACUAACACGCUUAUGCCCAAAACUUAUCAUA
rnacentral:lncRNA from 1 species